CGAACGCUGGCGGCAGGCCUAACACAUGCAAGUCGUACGAGAAGGUUCUUUCGGGAACUGGAGAGUGGCGCACGGGUGAGUAACGCGUGGGGACCUACCUCUUAGUGGGGGAUAACGGUUGGAAACGACCGCUAAUACCGCAUACGCCCUUCGGGGGAAAGAUUUAUCGCUAAGAGAUGGACCCGCGUUGGAUUAGAUAGUUGGUGAGGUAAUGGCUCACCAAGUCGGCGAUCCAUAGCUGGUUUGAGAGGAUGAUCAGCCACACUGGGACUGAGACACGGCCCAGACUCCUACGGGAGGCAGCAGUGGGGAAUAUUGGACAAUGGGGGCAACCCUGAUCCAGCCAUGCCGCGUGAGUGAAGAAGGCCUUCGGGUUGUAAAGCUCUUUCAGAUGCGAAGAUGAUGACGGUAACAUCAGAAGAAGCCCCGGCUAAUUUC
rnacentral:rRNA from 1 species